rnacentral:snoRNA from 1 species
UCCCGGUGAGGAAUCUAAGACCAUAGGAAGUGCCGUAUGACACUUUAAACAGCAGCUGCUUU